rnacentral:rRNA from 1 species
GUUUGAUUAUGGCUCAGAAUGAACGUUGGCGGCGUGGAUUAGGCAUGCAAGUCGAGCGAGAAAUUUACUUCGGUAAAUGGACAGCGGCGAAAGGGACAGUAAUGUGUAGGUACCUACCCUCUGAUCUGGGAUAGCUGCGGGAAACUGCAGGUAAUACCGGAUAAUGUCUUCGGACCAAAGGUGUGAUUCCGUCUGAGGAGGGGCCUGCAUCCUAUUAGCUUGUUGGUGAGGUAAUGGCUCACCAAGGCAACGAUGGGUAGCGGGUGUGAGAGCAUGACCCGCGUCAUUGGGACUGAGACACUGCCCAGACAUCUACGGAUGGCUGCAGUCGAGAAUCUUCGGCAAUGGGCGAAAGCCUGACCGAGCGACGCCGCGUGCGGGAUGAAGGCCCUCGGGUUGUAAACCGCUGUCGUUGGGGAGGAAAUGCAAGAGGGCUAUCCCUUUUGUUUGACCGAUCCAAGGAGGAAGUACGGGCUAAGUUCGUGC